CAAGUGCUAGAUAUGAAUACAAGCAGCAGCUGAUGUGCGCAGUUGGGGAAUGCCUACUGAAAGACUAUCUGUGAUCUGCUCCUUCCGCCCUUAUCUGUAGAGCCAGGGGGAGCCCUUAAACAGUAAGAGAGGAACACUUCGUAGAAACCCUCAAUCACUCUCACUUAUCUGUCAACAGACUUUGCUGCACAGGUGGCCGCCACACAGACGUCACACAAUUGCUGAACGCGCACACGAGCAUAAUUAGCCAGCUCCCUUCAGGAAUUAAAUUAAACCACUAGCAUACCGCGGGUUCCGACUUUUCGCUUCUAUUCGAAUUACAAAUGUAGCGAAGAUAGAAUAACAAUAUUGCUAUUCAUUCAACGGGAGGAUUCUUUUUUUUGCAAAGGUAUUUGGCUACGCUACUUUGACGGCUACAUAUUAAGGUUCAUGGUUUCGAUUGUUGGUGAGCACCUGUUCUUUAUCAGUGAGCAGCUCGAGAAUUCAUUCUAAUUCGCCACAUUGUGUCACAGAGAACUAGUUACAUGUAGGUUUUGUCGUGCUACCGAAAUGUAGGGGCGGUAUCUGUCGCGUACAGCUCAUUUUACUGGACAAUCCUGCAGUAAAACAUAAAAUUACCGGGUUCUCAGGCGAUUGCUUCUAGUGGGCCGUGGCUGUGACCCCGCGAGGUUGUUCUUACCUUUUUUGUGCCGCAAAAUGUAUAUUGAACUGCGCUGCGCAGCACAACACAAACAUUUUCACUCAUAGACUACGAAAGCAAGCACCAUGGCGUUUCAUUGAGCCACGUCCAAGUCUAAUCUCACAUAACAGCGACGAGUUCGAACAAAAUGAAAAACACUCAGUUGUGAAAACGCCAAACGCCGGUGUAGCCUAUAUUUUGUCAGAUGGCAAAGGAUUUCUUGGAAGGCCCACACUACGCUAGCUAACCUGGGUGGCUUGAACAAUAGGCGUCUGGAAGAUGGAUGGCUUCUAGUCAAGCCCUCCUAACAAAGAGACCAAAGAGACUGUGGAAAGGGCGUACAGUAUGCUUUAUUCCUGAAUCGCACAGAGAGAAGGCAGCAAUAAUCUACCAGUGGACUGAAUACGAACAGGAAACAAAUGUUCAGUGAUGACAAAGGCUUGGAAUGUGUUGAGAGCACCAUUCCCUGCACCGUCUCCACACUGCUAUUGCAGUUUUUACAAAGCAAAGGUGAAACCCAGCAGUAAAGGAGCAAAAAGGCACAUCUCUUUCUGGUGUCACUCACCACCAGCUCUCCAUAGGAGGAGAGGAGGCCAGCUCCAUAUGCCUUCACACCAUCGCCCUGCUUGCACAGCCCGAACUCCACAGUGAACCAGUAGAGCUGAGAGGGACCCACCAUGAGGAGAACAUGCAGCUGUGAACGGAGCGUGCGGUUCUGAAGCAGAGGCUCAGGUGCUGGACCGCGGAGUGAGAAGACGUGGCAGCGUGCGGACUGUGUUUUGGAAGAGAGCAGAAGGAAGGUUCCGGGGCCUUGGGCACUGCUCUGCUCUGCUGCGAGGCUCUGCUUCUCUCCCGGCAGGAGGGAACGCCGUUCGUUUCAGUCCCUCCCCACGCAGAGCGCCGACUGGAAAAUGUCACGGCUUGACAGGGACCGGUCGAUGCCCCGCCCUGAUGCCCCGAGGGGCCGCGGGGCCUGUCACUUCCCCUAGACUGCAAGGCCCCGGCCCCGCCCGACAGCGACCGCAGACUCUGACAUUUAGCCAACCUGGGCCUACCUCCUUACAAUACGCCCGGGCCCUGAUCCUUAACAGGCUCAAAGAAGGAACGUUUUGAGUGUGCGGUUUGAAUCGCUGCAUUUUAUGUAUUUAAGCCGUUCUGAGUAGUGACAUCAUUAUCUCUUCUGCCGUUAAAUGGGGAAAACAGACAGUGUUCCAAUAUCGUAAAUUAUCCUUAUAGAAUAUACCAGAUUUGCCAGCAUUACUACCUUUCCAGAGAAGAAUCUCCCAGAGAUAUUUUCUACACUGAAGCCAUUACUGAACCUAAAAAAUGAACAAUUUCUGAUGUCAUGUUCAUAUAAAUCUGAGCUUGUUGCUGGACUGUAGACAAGAUUGUGUUAAUGCUUAAUAGAAAUAAGGAGUGAGGCAAUUGAUGCCCUCUUCUGGUCAAUCAUGGAACAGCACAGGUGCAGAGAGGUUAUUGAAUAUAUGAACUCCUGAAUGUGAGAAUUCAAAAAAAAAGAUUUUUUUUUAGAAAUACAUAAAAAUUAGCAUUUUUCAGACUGAUAGUUUGAAGCCAGUUAGCUAAACGUACUCCAGAACAGAGCACAUUUUUUGUAUGCAUUUUCAGAUCAAGAUGAAGAAUUCUGAAUGGGACACUCUUUUUAUGAAAUCCCUCAUUGCCUUCUGAAAAUCGGCCAGUUCACCUCACAGUCCAAAUAGAAGCACAACAAAUCACUGAAGCCCCUAACCCAUACAAAACACGUCUAGGAUUAGGCCUCCAGGUUCCAGUGAAGUACUAUGAGAGCACAGUCAUAUUAAACGUGAAGCUUUAAGAGCAUCAUCUGAAAUGCAGUUAAUUUAUCCCUAAAUCAGACUUCAACAAAAUGAAAGGAAUCCUGUUAAAGAUGAAGUAAACCUUUGAAAUUCUCAGGGGGGAAAAAAUCCCUAAAUACAAAAAAUUAUAUUAAUAAUCUAUAUUUUAAAAUCAAAUGAAUGGUCAUAUUUGGCUUAAUCAUGUCUUUUAUUAUUAUUAUUAUAGCACCAGAAGCUAUACAGGGGGUAGACUUAAAGAACAGAACACAGAACAUGGAUUGGAUGAGCACAACCUCUGGUAGAAGGAGGGAGUCUGACUUUUGCAUGCUCUGCAAGACUGCUGAACAAUUUGUGUUACCGUGACCCCCCAACCAGCACCUACAGAAUGGGGAUGGCGCCCCCUGCAGGACAGGUAGGGACAGUGGAACUGGGUUAGUUUAACACACCGCCUGCUCCAUACAGCCAGUGAGGAAAUGUUUCUUUACCUGCUUCACCAUGCAGGCCGAGCCUUCUCAGUUAAAAACUGUGGGAAUUAAAUACUCCUCUUUACAUAUACAGUUGUGCCGUGAGAGCGUACAAACAUAUAAAAAUACUUGUUAACUAGUCUGAUAAGAAAAUAAUGUAUAAAA